AGUGAACGCUGGCGGUAGGCCUAACACAUGCCAGUCGAACGGCAGCACAGUAAGAGCUUGCUCUUACGGGUGGCGAGUGGCGGACGGGUGAGGAAUACAUCGGAAUCUACUUUUUCGUGGGGGAUAACGUAGGGAAACUUACGCUAAUACCGCAUACGACCUACGGGUGAAAGCAGGGGAUCUUCGGACCUUGCGCGAUUGAAUGAGCCGAUGUCGGAUUAGCUAGUUGGCGGGGUAAAGGCCCACCAAGGCGACGAUCCGUAGCUGGUCUGAGAGGAUGAUCAGCCACACUGGAACUGAGACACGGUCCAGACUCCUACGGGAGGCAGCAGUGGGGAAUAUUGGACAAUGGGCGCAAGCCUGAUCCAGCCAUAUCGCGUGGGUGAAGAAGGCCUUCGGGUUGUAAAGCCCUUUUGUUGGGAAAGAAAAGCAGCAGGUUAAUACCCCGCUGUUCUGACGGUACCCAAAGAAUAAGCACCGGCUAACUUCGUG
rnacentral:rRNA from 1 species